UGAUCAUAUUGGGAUAGAGAACAUGAGUGAGGUGGUACUCAUACUAUGACAAAAAUGCUUAGGGGGUACUCAAGACGAAAAAGGUUGGGAGACACUGAUGUAUGCCCAGAUCAUGUACGCCCAGAGCAAAGUCACAGGCAGUGUGCUUCUCUUGCAUUCACAGACUGCCCAUGCUUUUUUAAAGAGAUAAGUUAGAAUGCUUUGCAUAUCUAUUUGUGUAGAGUUAAUCACCAAGACAAUUUCCAGAAGUUGUAUCCAGGUGUCAAUUGUGUCCUUGUUCUGGUGUUGUUAUUUUCAAACAGAGAUGGCUCUUGCUCACUGGCAGUGACUUGGGUCAUGUGAGACAGCAUCAGAGCUCGGGUGACAUCUCUCGCUCGGGUGAAAUCUCUCCUGGAAGAUUUCAAGGUGUGUGCAGAGUUCUGAAGAAUAAAAGUCAACAGUCAAGUUCUUCUCCAUAUUCUCCAAAUCUGACGGAGGCGUUCCAUCAGGAAAGGGGGAAUGGUUGGUCGAUGCCUCCAGAAUAAUGAUACCCAUGACCCAGGCACAACAUGCUGACAGGGAAUCGGCUAUGGCAGAAAGCAUCCAUGCCAUCUACGUGAUCCGCCAUGAAGGUUCAGAAGCUACUGACAGUCCUGAGGACAUCGGAAUCAUUUUCA